UCACCCGUCCGAGUCACUUCGCCCACUGUUUGCAUGCAACCCCGCAAACGGGUUAACCCGGACGCUCCGGUUCUGUCGGGUCAAUGUACCGGUCCACGUGAGGGUUCAAGAUUUGAUUGGACGGCUCACGUUGCAGGAGAAGAUCCGCCUCCUCGUUAACAAUGCUGCCGCCGUGCCACGCCUUGGUAUUGGAGGCUAUGAGUGGUGGUCGGAGGCUCUACACGGCGUUUCUGACGUCGGUCCCGGCGCUAAGUUCGGUGGUGCUUUUCCCGGUGCCACCAGCUUCCCUCAGGUCAUCACCACCGCAGCUUCUUUCAACCAGUCACUCUGGGAAGAGAUCGGACGGGUGAGAAUAAAUUAGAAAUUUUAAGAUAGAAAAUACAUUUUAGAAAAUGAGAAUAAUACUAAAUUUUGUGAUUUCCUACGUGAAAAAACGACAUCGAAAUCGACAUCGUAGCGGUCAAUACACUAGAGUUUGAUUAGUGGGACGCUCUAUAUUUAUAUAAUUUUUUUGAGAAACCUAUAUUUAUAUAAUUAUAUAUAUAUAUAUAUAUAUAUCUUGGAAAUUUAUAAUUCACAUGUUUUUUUAAUCUGACUAUGACAUGAUCAGUCUAUCGAAUAAGUCAGACAGGUAGGUUAUAAGAAAAUCCAAAACCAAUAUAUAUGGGGAAAUUUGAUUUUGUUACGUUUAUCUCGUUUUAUCUGCGAUAUUAAAGAAUUAAUACGAUGAUGGGGAAGCUUGCUAUAAGCUUAUAACCAGUAAAUAAAAGGCAACACUUUUUAUUAUGUGGUGUAUAUAUAUAUGGAAUGGAUGACAUCUAUUUCUUUCAACAAAAACAAAGUUGUAUGGAGGAUAUAUUAAUUAGAAUUAACAUGAUUUAAAAUAAAUAAAAGGUGGUGUCUGAUGAGGCAAGAGCUAUGUACAAUGGAGGCGUGGCCGGUUUGACGUAUUGGAGCCCAAAUGUGAAUAUACUGAGGGACCCACGGUGGGGGCGAGGCCAGGAAACUCCCGGAGAAGAUCCUGUCGUCGCCGGAAAAUACGCCGCCAGCUACGUCCGGGGACUUCAGGGCAACGGCGCCGGCAAC
rnacentral:lncRNA from 1 species